CCUGCCUGAAGCCAAGGCUAGAGAGCCGUCUGGGUGGUGGCUGGGAGGUAGGGAACCUAAGUUUCACCCCCAUACCUUCAGCAUGGCAACCAAUCAAACUCAGAGGCCAAGUGUCUGCAAGACUGUGAGUGGUUCUUUCCUAACCUGAAAUCCCUGAUCCGGAAUGGUGCUGUGUGCCCUUCCACUAUCCACCAUGAGCUGAAGAAACACAAGGCCUUUACUGGAAGCCUGCACAACUAGACCUCCCACUCUCCAAAGCCAUAGGAUAAAAUAAACUUCUUUACAAAUUC